rnacentral:rRNA from 1 species
AUUGAACGCUGGCGGAAUGCUUUACACAUGCAAGUCGAACGGCAGCACGGGGGCAACCCCUGGUGGCGAGUGGCGAACGGGUGAGUAAUACAUCGGAACGUGCCCAGUCGUGGGGGGAUAACCGUAGCGAAAGCUACGCUAAUACCGCAUACGAUCUACGGAUGAAAGCGGGGGAUCGCAAGACCUCGCGCGAUUGGAGCGGCCGAUGGCAGAUUAGGUAGUUGGUGGGUAAAGGCUCACCAAGCCGACGAUCUGUAGCUGGUCUGAGAGGACGACCUAGCCACACUGGGACUGAGACACGGCCCAGACUCCUACGGAGGCAGCAGUGGGGAAUUUUGGGACAAUGGGCGCAAGCCUGAUCCAGCCAUUCCGCGUGCAGGAUGAAGG